rnacentral:rRNA from 1 species
UUGGGUGGWYAGUGGCGAACGGGUGAGUAACAGUGAGCAACCUGCUCUGACUCUGGGAUAAGCGCUGGAAACGGCGUCUAAUACUGGAUACGAGUAGCGACCGCAUGGUCAGUUACUGGAAAGAUUUAUUGGUUGGGGAUGGGCUCGCGGCCUAUCAGCUUGUUGGUGAGGUAAUGGCUCACCAAGGCGUCGACGGGUAGCCGGCCUGAGAGGGUGACCGGCCACACUGGGACUGAGACACGGCCCAGACUCCUACGGGAGGCAGCAGUGGCGAAUAUUGCACAAUGGGCGCAAGCCUGAUGCAGCAACGCCGCGUGAGGGAUGACGGCCUUCGGGUUGUAAACCUCUUUUAGCAGGGAAGAAGCGAAAGUGACGGUACCUGCAGAAAAAGCGCCGGCUAACUACGUGCAC